UCAGAGGGGGAAGGCGAAUUUUUUGGUCUGUAAACGAMGCUGGGGAGGGAAAGCUUGGGUUGAACAGGAAUUGAUACCUUGUAGUUUACCCCGUGAAGAGUGAGGCUAAUGUUAGGGGGUUUCCGCCCCUCAGUCCUGCAGGUAACCGUUAAUCACUCCGCCUGGGGAGUAUGGUGCAAGACUGGGUUUCAAAGGAAUUGACGGGGGCCCGCACAAGCGGUGGAGCAUGUGGUUUAAUUCGAAGUAACGCGAAGAACCUUACCAGGUCUUGACAUCCUCGGACAAUCCUAGAGAUAGGACGUCCCCUUCGGGGGCAGAGUCACAGGUGGUGCAUGGUUGUCGUCAGCUCGUGUCGUGAGAUGUUGGGUUAAGUCCCGCAACGAGCGCAACCCUUGAUCUUAGUUGCCAGCAUUCAGUUAUAAUUUCGGGGGGGGACGGGGGUUGCAAACCGGGGGAAGGUACGGAUUACGCGCAAUCAGCAUGCCCCCUAUGACCUGGGAUUCCCACGUGAUCCAAUGGACAGAACAAAGGGCAGCGAAACCGCGAGGUUAUUUGAAUGCCACAAAAACCUCUCAGUUCGGAUGGCCUUCUUAAUCCACUGCGAACGCUGUAGUCCAUGUAAUAACGGAAAGCAUAUCGACGUGAAAUACGUUCUUU
rnacentral:rRNA from 1 species